rnacentral:rRNA from 1 species
CCUACGGGAGGCAGCAGUGAGGAAUAUUGGUCAAUGGGCGGAAGCCUGAACCAGCCAAGUAGCGUGCAGGAUGACGGCCCUACGGGUUGUAAACUGCUUUUAUACGGGAAUAACGCGCAUUAAGUGUAGGGCUUUGCAUGUACCGUAUGAAUAAGGACCGGCUAAUUCCGUGCCAGCAGCCGCGGUAAUACGGAAGGUACGGGCGUUAUCCGGAUUUAUUGGGUUUAAAGGGAGCGUAGGCCGCAUGUCAAGCGUGCUGUGAAAUGUCCGGGCUCAACCCGGGCCUUGCAGCGCGAACUGGCGUGCUUGAGUCCGCGGAAAGCAGGCGGAAUUCGUCGUGUAGCGGUGAAAUGCUUAGAUAUGGCGAAGAACCCCGAUUGCGAAGGCAGGUUGCUGCAGCGGAACUGACGCUGAUGCUCGAAAGCGCGGGUAUCGAACAGGAUUAGAUACCCUAGUAGUC